rnacentral:Y_RNA from 1 species
GGCUGGUCCAAGUGCAGUGGUGUUUACAACUAAUUAAUCACAACCAGUUAUAGAUUGCUUUUGUUCCUUCUCUGCUCCCACUGCUUCACUUGACUAGCCUAAA